rnacentral:rRNA from 1 species
GAGUUUGAUCCUGGCUCAGGACGAACGCUGGCGGCGUGCUUAACACAUGCAAGUCGAACGGAAAGGCCCCGCUCGCGGGGUACUCGAGUGGCGAACGGGUGAGUAACACGUGGGUGAUCUGCCCUGCACUUCGGGAUAAGCCUGGGAAACUGGGUCUAAUACCGGAUAUGACCUCCCUUUAGUGUGGGGGGUGGAAAGAUUUAUCGGUGCAGGAUGAGCCCGCGGCCUAUCAGCUUGUUGGUGGGGUAAUGGCCUACCAAGGCGUCGACGGGUAGCCGGCCUGAGAGGGUGGACGGCCACAUUGGGACUGAGAUACGGCCCAGACUCCUACGGGAGGCAGCAGUGGGGAAUAUUGCACAAUGGGCGGAAGCCUGAUGCAGCGACGCCGCGUGGGGGAUGACGGCCUUCGGGUUGUAAACCUCUUUCGACAGGGACGAAGUGAAAUGACGGUACCUGUAUAAGAAGCACCGGCUAACUACGUGCCAGCAGCCGCGGUAAUACGUAGGGUGCGAGCGUUGUCCGGAAUUACUGGGCGUAAAGAGCUCGUAGGUGGUUUGUCACGUCGUCUGUGAAAUUCCGGGGCUUAACCUCGGGCGUGCAGGCGAUACGGGCAAUACUUGAGUGCUGUAGGGGAGACUGGAAUUCCUGGUGUAGCGGUGAAAUGCGCAGAUAUCAGGAGGAACACCAAUGGCGAAGGCAGGUCUCUGGGCAGUUACUGACGCUGAGGAGCGAAAGCAUGGGUAGCGAACAGGAUUAGAUACCCUGGUAGUCCAUGCCGUAAACGGUGGGCGCUAGGUGUAGGGGACUUCCACGUUCUCUGUGCCGUAGCUAACGCAUUAAGCGCCCCGCCUGGGGAGUACGGCCGCAAGGCUAAAACUCAAAGGAAUUGACGGGGGCCCGCACAAGCGGCGGAGCAUGUGGAUUAAUUCGAUGCAACGCGAAGAACCUUACCUGGGCUUGACAUACACCGGACCGGCGUAGAGAUACGUCUUCCCUUGUGGCCGGUGUACAGGUGGUGCAUGGUUGUCGUCAGCUCGUGUCGUGAGAUGUUGGGUUAAGUCCCGCAACGAGCGCAACCCUUGUCUUAUGUUGCCAGCACGUGAUGGUGGGGACUCAUGAGAGACUGCCGGGGUCAACUCGGAGGAAGGUGGGGAUGACGUCAAAUCAUCAUGCCCCUUAUGUCCAGGGCUUCACACAUGCUACAAUGGUCGGUACAGCAGGUCGCGAACUCGUGAGAGUAAGCCAAUCCUUCAAAGCCGGCCUCAGUUCGGAUUGGGGUCUGCAACUCGACCCCAUGAAGUCGGAGUCGCUAGUAAUCGCAGAUCAGCAACGCUGCGGUGAAUACGUUCCCGGGCCUUGUACACAC